rnacentral:misc_RNA from 1 species
CCGAGUUUACACUCCCAAACCCCCUGUGAACCUGUACCUCAGUCGUUGCUUCGGCGGGCUUUCGCCCCGGACGCCGCGCUGCCCUCCAGGGGGCUCGGCGCCGGAUCCAGGCGCCCGCCGGGGGACCCAAACUCUCCUGCAUAUCACAGCGCAUGUCUGAGUGGAUUUUAGUAUCAAAUGAAUCA